GACGAACGCUGGCGGCGUGCUUAACACAUGCAAGUCGAACGGAAAGGCCCUGCUUUUGUGGGGUGCUCGAGUGGCGAACGGGUGAGUAACACGUGAGUAACCUGCCCUUGACUUUGGGAUAACUUCAGGAAACUGGGGCUAAUCCCGGAUAGGAGCUCCUGUUGCAUGGUGGGGGUUGGAACGUUUCUGCGGUUGGGGAUGGACGCGCGGGUUAUGAGCUUGUUGGUGGGGUAGUGGCUUACCAAGGGUUUGACGGGUAGCCGACCUGAGAGGGUGACCGGCGACCAUGGGACUGAGAGACGGCGCAGACGCGUACGGGAGGCAGCAGGGGGGAAUAUGACACAAUGGGCGGAAGCCUGAGGCAGAAACGCUGCGUGCGGGAUGCCGGCCUUCGGGGUGUGAAACGCUUUCGCCUAUGACGAAGCGUGAGUGACGGUAAUGGGUAAAGAAGCACCGGCUAACUACGUG
rnacentral:rRNA from 1 species